UGUGUGGCAUCUACAUUGGGAUGUGUAGACACCAGGGAUCUAUGUGUGGCAUCUGCAUUGGGAUCUGUAGACACCGGGGAUCUAUGUGUGGCAUCUACAUUGGGAUCUGUAGACACCGGGGAUCUAUGUGUGGCAUCUACAUUGGGAUCUGUAGACACCAGGGAUCUAUACACCAGGGAUCCAUGUGUGGCAUCUACAUUGGGAUCUGUAGACACCAGGGAUCUAUAGACAGGGUGAGGUCUUUGUGUGGCAUCUACAUCGGGAUCUAUAGGCAGGGUGGGAUCUGUGUCUGGGACCUAUAGAAGACAUGACGUCUCAUCAAGGAUCCGGUGUCCUUGGGCCGCUCCACACAUCUCCAUCCUGUGAGAUCUGCAGAUUACGGGCGUGUCCCCUGUAGAUAUAAUAUAUACGCCCCGCCGCCAGCACCGAGCUAAUCACAGAAUUGAUCAGCGUGUGCCGGACGUGAGGGGAAUCCAUCACACGAGCCCCUCUGCAGGACUUCAGCACAGCAGGGGUUAAUGACGCAAUGCUCUGCUGCAGACAACAUGUCCACACAUAAUACUGGUGCAUAAGCAGACAUGACGUGCAGAGCAUCGCAGCACCAACCCCUCACUCUGCAGAGCAUUCAACACAUCAUAACCGGCUCCAGGUUGUUGUAGCAGAGCUGAAUUUAAUUCCUGAAGAUAAUAUGUACAGCGGGACAACUCCUCCAGUACAGAGAGCGGCAGUCCCAUGUAACACCACAGAUAACCGAGUACAGGUAAUGUAGCUGAUGUCACCGGCAGUCCCAUGUAACACCACAGAUAACAGAGUACAGGUAAUGUAGCUGAUGUCACCGGCAGUCCCAUGUAACACCACAGAUAACAGAGUACAGGUAAUGUAGUAGAUGUCACCGGCA